rnacentral:rRNA from 1 species
GUAUGGUGCGAACGUUGUUCGGAAUCACUGGGCAUAAAGAGCACGUAGGCGGUCCGGUAAGUCUGUGUGUGAAAUCCCUCGGCUUAACCGAGGAAUUGCACCGGAUACUGCCGGACUAGAGUGCAGGAGGGGAGAGUGGAAUUCCUGGUGGAGCGGUGAAAUGCGUAGAUAUCAGGAGGAACGCCGGUGGCGAAAGCGACUCUCUGGUCUGCAACUGACGCUGAGGUGCGAAAGCCAGGGGGGAGCGAACGGGAUUAGAUACCCCGGUAGUCCUGGCCCUAAACGAUGGGCACUAAGUAGAGGGGGUUCCGAUGCCUUCUCUGCUGCAGCAAAUGUGUUAAGUGCCCCCGCCUGGGAGUAUGGUCGCAAGGCUA